rnacentral:snoRNA from 1 species
CAAAGGGAGACCAUGAUGACUUUAAUUUUCCAAGCACGUAUCUGAAUUUACUAUGUGGAAAAACCCGAAUGACUGAGUCUCCUUCAC